CUGGGUGUAGCUCAGUUUGGUAGAGUAAUCCCCUUGGAAGGGAGAGGUCACAGGUUCAAAUCCUGUCAUCCAGACCA
rnacentral:tRNA from 1 species